GACGAACGCAGGCGGCGUGCUUAACACAUGCAAGUCGAACGGGGCUUGCCCUUUGGGGUGGGUUUAGUGGCGAACGGGUGAGUAACACGUGGGUAAUCUGCCCUCAGCUCUGGGAUAACUCCGGGAAACCGGGGCUAAUACUGGAUAUGACUACUGGUGACAUCGCCUGGUGGUGGAAAGAUUUUUUGGCUGAGGAUGGGCCCGCGGCCUAUCAGCUUGUUGGUGGGGUAAUGGCCUACCAAGGCGACGACGGGUAGCCGGCCUGAGAGGGCGACCGGCCACACUGGGACUGAGACACGGCCCAGACUCCUACGGGAGGCAGCAGUGGGGAAUCUUGCGCAAUGGGCGAAAGCCUGACGCAGCGACGCCGCGUGAGGGAUGACGGCCUCGGUU
rnacentral:rRNA from 1 species